CAGACUGGCCCUCUCCAGUCCCAGAAAAGAUACAUGUUCAGAACAUUGAUCAGCUCACACUUCGGAAGGAGGAAGCCAGUGGUCCCUAUCCGCUGCAUCAGCAGUGCUGGGGAUGGUGGAGGCUUGAUUGACCAGCCCAUCACAUGUGCAAGACCCAACCCAACCAUUGUACCAAGGAGAAUGGGGCCCUGUGACUGGCCUACUUGCCUUUCCCAGUGGAUGAGGAAACGAAGGUUAGAUCCAAGCCUUCCAGGGAUGAAGCUCACAUGCCAGGGCCACCACACUGCAGUGCUGCUGGAGCAAAUGCGAUGUGAGAGUUCACUGCAAACCCUCCUCUCUGUGUCAACGGUGGUAGCCACAAAGGGCACCCCAGAGGAGUGGGAGUCCCCACGGGAGCAGCUCUCAGGGGAUCCCAGAAGACAGUCCUGUGCUUCUAUUCAGAAACUCAGCCUCUUAAGGACCCUGGAGAAAAUUUCAUUCAUGCCCUGGGAGAAAUGCAUGCCACUUGCAAAUGCAGAAACAGCCCAAAAAGAGGGGAGCAUCUUGUUCAAGGUCACACAGUGAGCCAUGAUGGAAACCCGUCCAGAGUGCAGCUCGCCUUACCCCUGGUGCUGUGCCCUUUCUCCAUUCCAAAUCUACUCCUCACCAAUGACCUCUCACCUUGCCUCCAUUCAUAGCAAUCUCUAUCAAUCUGAGCUGUUAAUAGGACCAGGCACUUCAUCUUUCUUUAUCUCUGGUCCUCCAAGCUAUCCUAUGAAGUAUUACCCAGGGCAGCCAUAAGG
ensembl:lncRNA